rnacentral:tRNA from 2 species
GGAGGUGCUCGACAAGCUGGUGCUGUCCCCGGUCUUCAAAACCGGUGUGGGGUGCGAGGAGCAUCCUGGGCAGGUUCGAUUCCUGUGCGCCUCCGC